UCCUGAAACAUAGGAUAAUCUGGGUAGUUUGUCUCCUUGUGGCUGAACUUUUGUUCUCUGGCACAUGCAUACCCUCUCCUAUAUGGAUUUCCAUAUCUGGCGUGGACCUUUUUGGUAGGCUAUGAUUGUAUAUCCUCCCCGUGAACACAGAGACAUUGAUCUCCAUAUACAGCAUUCUCCCCUUGUUUUUGGCGUACUUUCACACUGAGACAGGAUUCUAUCUACAGAUCUUAUUGACUACAUGUAUUUCUCUGACACAAUGAUCGUCUGUAAUACCCCUUGAAGAAGGAUCACAGAUACCGAAACGGCUGUCGGGUUGGACCAAUUUUUGUCUCAUGUCUGUUUUAUUGCUUUACAAAUAGGAUCUGUAUACCACUUGCAUGUGGUCUUUUAUCCUUGCUAGGACACUGUAUGAUGUCCUGACUUAAAUUGUUUAAAUAAAUUUGCUAUAUAUUUUUCUACUCAUUCACGUGUUUGUGUCACUUAUAAAGUCCCACCCUUGAGGGGGUAUUUCAUGUUUUUUCCAUAACUCUAGGGAUGUGGUGACUUACAAACACUGACAUUCUCCUGAUUGUGGGGUCCCUCUUUUUC